rnacentral:lncRNA from 1 species
AUGACUCAUAUUCAUACAUGAGGCGGAUAACACUAAAAUGGCAUGUUUAUGGAAUGGGUUAGUGGUGGAAAUGUAACCUAAUCCAAGGCCAAGAGGGGAUGCAAUGAAAGGCCACAUAUGAACAUUGUUUUAGGUUCUAUAAAGAAGUGGAGAUAUAUUAGUCCACCACAAACCAUGAGAGGAUAUUCUUUGUAUUUGUGAUGCAUACCAUGCCCUAUACUGAUGGUGUCCAUAUCUCCUAGGUAUGAAAUUACUUAUCUUAACUUUUAACUUCACCUCCAAAAGUUGGGGCUUUAAUAUCACUCCCUACUGGUAGCUAGUAUAUUACAAUUAUUAUAAGUGAGAACUUAAUCACAUGUUACAUUGGGUCAUUGGUGGAUGU